rnacentral:rRNA from 1 species
UACGAAGGGGACUAGCGUUGUUCGGAAUUACUGGGCGUAAAGCGCGCGUAGGCGGAUCGCUAAGUCAGGGGUGAAAUCCCAGGGCUCAACCCUGGAACUGCCUUUGAUACUGACGAUCUGGAGAUCGGGAGAGGUUGGUGGAAUUCCGAGUGUAGAGGUGAAAUUCGUAGAUAUUCGGAGGAACACCAGAAGCGAAGGCGGCCAACUGGCCCGAUACUGACGCUGAGGAGCGAAAGCCAGGGGAGCAAACGGG